rnacentral:rRNA from 1 species
UACGUAGGCAGCGAGCGUUGUUCGGAAUUACUGGGCGUAAAGAGUGUGUAGGCGGUGCUCUAAGUUCGGUGUGAAAUCUCCCGGCUUAACUGGGAGGUGCGCCGGAAACUGGAGUGCUCGAACGUGGGAGAGGAAAGCGGAAUUCCUGGUGUAGCAGUGAAAUGCGUAGAUAUCAGGAGGAACACCUGCGGUGUAGACGGCUUUCUGGACCAUUGUUGACGCUGAGACACGAAAGCGUGGGUAGCAAACAGG